rfam:Shewanella algae strain BrY contig_53_1, whole genome shotgun sequence.
UGCGGUAGAGGAGCGUUCUGUAAGCCGUUGAAGGCGAAGGGGUAACCCACGCUGGAGGUAUCAGAAGUGCGAAUGCUGACAUGAGUAACGAUAAAGGGGGUGAAAAACCCCCUCGCCGAAAGACCAAGGGUUCCUGUCCAACGUUAAUCGGGGCAGGGUGAGUCGACCCCUAAGGCGAGGCUGAAAGGCGUAGUCGAUGGGAAACGGGUUAAUAUUCCCGUACUUCUGCUAACUGCGAUGGAGAGACGGAGAAGGCUAGGCCAGCGCGGCGUUGGUUGUCCGCGUUUAAGGUAGUAGGUGGUGUGCUUAGGCAAAUCCGGGCACACAUACACUGAGAGCUGAUGACGAGUCCCCAAGGGGAUGAAGUGGUUGAUGCCAUGCUUCCAGGAAAAUCUUCUAAGCUUCAGGUUAGUAGAAAUCGUACCCCAAACCGACACAGGUGGUCGGGUAGAGAAUACCAAGGCGCUUGAGAGAACUCGGCUGAAGGAACUAGGCAAAAUGGUACCGUAACUUCGGGAGAAGGUACGCUGCCGGCGGUGAAGACCUCGCGUCGUAAGCUGCUGGCAGUCGCAGAUACCAGGUGGCUGCAACUGUUUAUCAAAAACACAGCACUGUGCAAAAUCGCAAGAUGACGUAUACGGUGUGACGCCUGCCCGGUGCCGGAAGGUUAAUUGAUUGGGUUAUCUUCGGAGAAGCUCAUGAUCGAAGCCCCGGUAAACGGCGGCCGUAACUAUAACGGUCCUAAGGUAGCGAAAUUCCUUGUCGGGUAAGUUCCGACCUGCACGAAUGGCGUAAUGAUGGCCACGCUGUCUCCAGCCGAGACUCAGUGAAGUUGAAAUUGCGGUGAAGAUGCCGUAUACCCGCGGCUAGACGGAAAGACCCCGUGAACCUUUACUAUAGCUUGGCACUGAACAUUGACCCUACAUGUGUAGGAUAGGUGGGAGACUUUGAAGCGAGAACGCCAGUUCUUGUGGAGUCAACCUUGAAAUACCACCCUUGUAGUGUUGAUGUUCUAACCUUGGUCCCUUAUCGGGAUUAGGGACAGUGCCUGGUGGGUAGUUUGACUGGGGCGGUCUCCUCCCAAAGAGUAACGGAGGAGCACGAAGGUUGGCUAAGUACGGUCGGACAUCGUACGGUUAGUGCAAUGGCAUAAGCCAGCUUAACUGCGAGACAGACACGUCGAGCAGAUGCGAAAGCAGGUCAUAGUGAUCCGGUGGUUCUGAAUGGAAGGGCCAUCGCUCAACGGAUAAAAGGUACUCCGGGGAUAACAGGCUGAUACCGCCCAAGAGUUCAUAUCGACGGCGGUGUUUGGCACCUCGAUGUCGGCUCAUCACAUCCUGGGGCUGAAGUCGGUCCCAAGGGUAUGGCUGUUCGCCAUUUAAAGUGGUACGCGAGCUGGGUUCAGAACGUCGUGAGACAGUUCGGUCCCUAUCUGCCGUGGGCGUUGGAUGAUUGAGGGGAGCUGCUCCUAGUACGAGAGGACCGGAGUGGACGAACCGCUGGUGUUCGGGUUGUCAUGCCAAUGGCAUUGCCCGGUAGCUACGUUCGGAAUCGAUAACCGCUGAAAGCAUCUAAGCGGGAAGCGAGCCCCAAGAUGAGUCAUCCCUAGGUCCCAGAGACCUCUGAAGAGCCGUUCGAGACCAGGACGUUGAUAGGCAGGGUGUGUAAGCGUUGCGAGGCGUUGAGCUAACCUGUACUAAUGACUCGAGAGGCUUAACCAU